rnacentral:rRNA from 1 species
AUUAUUUUAAGCUAUAUAUUAGGAGUAAAUAAAAUUUAUGAAAUUAAAAAAUUUUGGCGGUAUUUUAAGCUUAUUAGAGGAAUUUGCUCUGUGAUGGACACAACGCCUUAAUCUUACUUAAUUUAGUAAUUUAAAUCAGUUUGUAUACCACUAUAUUAAUUAUAUUGAAUAGUUAUAUUUAAAAUUUUUUUAAAAAAAUAUAUUAAGUCAAGGUGCAUCUAAUAAUUAUGAAUGAAGUGAAUUACAUUAAUUUUAAUGUAAUUUUUUUUCAUGAAAAAAUUAAUUAGGAUUUAAUAGUAAAAUACUAAUAUUAUGAGUAUUUGAAUCAAGCUCUAAAAUAUGCAC